UACAGGGGGGGCAAGCGUUGUUCGGAAUUACUGGGCGUAAAGGGCUCGUAGGCGGCCAACUAAGUCAGACGUGAAAUCCCUCGGCUUAACCGGGGAACUGCGUCUGAUACUGGAUGACUUGAGUUUGGGAGAGGGAUGCGGAAUUCCAGGUGUAGCGGUGAAAUGCGUAGAUAUCUGGAGGAACACCGGUGGCGAAGGCGGCAUCCUGGACCAACACUGACGCUGAGUGAGCGAAAGCCAGGGGAGCAAACGGG
rnacentral:rRNA from 1 species